AUUGAACGCUGGCGGCAGGCCUAACACAUGCACGUCGAGCGAGCGGCGGACGGGUGAGUAAUGUAUGGGGACUGCACGAUAGAGGGGGAUAAGUACUGGAAACGGUAGCUAAUACCGCAUACUAUCGGAUAACCCAUAUGGGAUUGGCUAGUUGGUGAGGUAAUGGCUCACCAAGGCGACGAUCCCUAGCUGGUCUGAGGGGAUGAUCAGCCACACUGGGCCUGAGACACGGCCCAGACUCCUACGGAGGCAGCAUUGGGUAAUAUUGCACAAUGGGCGCAAGCCUGAUGCAGCCAUGCCGCUUGUAUGAAGAAGGCCCUAGGGUUGUAAAGUACUUUCAGUCGGGAGGCGUUACCGACAGAAGAAGCACCGGCUAACUCCGUGCCAGCCGCCGCGGUAAUUC
rnacentral:rRNA from 1 species